GUAGGUAUGUAAUCCAAAAGCCCCGCCCGAACUUCUAGUGAUGAAUGCUAACGUUUCUCUAGGUGAACCUGCGGAAGGAUCAUUAAAGAGUUAGGGUCUUCUAGGCCUGACCUCCCAACCCCAUGUUUAUUGAACCUUUUGUUGCUUCGGCGGACCCGUCUCACGGCCGCCGGAGGAUCGCUUAACGGCAUCCUCUGGCCCGCGUCCGCCGAUAGCCAACCACUUAAACCCUGAAUAAAUCGUGUCAUAU
rnacentral:misc_RNA from 1 species